rnacentral:rRNA from 1 species
UUAUUAUAUAGUUAAUAUAUUUUUUAUUUUUGUUUUUUUAAAAAAAAUAUUUUAAUUUUUAGUUUAUUUAGUUAAAAAAAUGGUUUAUUUUAUAGUUUAUAGUACUGUAUAGUAAUUUUUUAUAAUAAAAUAUAAGUAGUUUAUAUAAUGUACCUUUUGUAUCAGGGGUUACUAAUUUAUUUAAUUAAUUAUAUUAUUUUCCCGAAGUCUUGGGUUAAAAAAUAAAGUUUUGUUUAAUGUAUUAUUUUUAUCAAUAAUUUUAUUUUAGUGGAGAAAUUCUAUUCAAACAAGAAUAUCUGGUUUUUUAAGUAAUAGAUUUAAUCUAUGAUUAAGUAUUUAUUUUAUAUUAAAUUAAUUUAUUUAAUCAAAUUUUAUUAAGGAUAAGCUUGAUAAAGUUUAUAUAAUUUUUGUUUAUAUAUUAACUGUUUGUAGGUUUAAGGAUAUCCAACGUUUAUUUUGUAAAAAUUGACUUUUUUAAUGUUUUUAUUUAUUAUGGGAUUUAUUUUUUUAUUAAAAAAAAUGGUUUAAUAUUUAAUCUAUUGAUAAAAUGGUUUUAUUAGUAAUAUAUAAUAAUUAAGAUAUAGUAAUUCGGCAAUUUUUAUCCCCACCUGUUUAACAAAGACAUGGUCUUUUGCUAUUUAUAAAAGAUAUGGCCUGCCCUAUGAGAUUUUAUUAAAUGGCUGCAGUAUUUUGACUGUACAAAGGUAGCAUAAUCAAUUGUCCUUUAAUUGGGGUCUAGAAUGAAUGGUUUAAUGAGGGGUGGACUUUCUUUAUCUUAAGUUGUGUGAAUUUGAUUUUUUUGUUAAAAAGCAUAAAUGUUAUUAUAGGACGAGAAGACCCUAUAGAACUUUAUUUUUUUAAGAUAGAUUUUUUUUGGUCAAUUAUAAUGGUUUUUUUUUAAAAAAAUUAGGUUGGGGUGACAGGAAAAAUUAUUUAACUUUUUUUAAUUUGUUCAUUUAUGUAUGAUUUUAUGAUCCUUUUUUAAAGAUUAAGAGAUUAAGUUACCUUAGGGAUAACAGCGUUAUUUUUCCAUAGAGUUCUUAUCGAUGGAAUAGUUUGCGACCUCGAUGUUGGAUUAAAAUAAGUGGCAGGAGUAGGAUAUUGUUAACUAGGUCUGUUCGACCUUUAAUUUUUUACAUGAUCUGAGUUCAGACCGGCGUGAGCCAGGUUGGUUUCUAUCCUUAUUUAUAUAUAAAAUUAUAGUACGAAAGGACCUAGUUUUAGGAAUAGUUUUUAUUUUAUUAUUUAAUAUAAU